rnacentral:rRNA from 1 species
UACGUAGGGUGCAAGCGUUGUCCGGAAUUAUUGGGCGUAAAGAGCUCGUAGGCGGUUUGUCGCGUCUGCUGUGAAAUCCCGAGGCUCAACCUCGGGCUUGCAGUGGGUACGGGCAGACUAGAGUGCGGUAGGGGAGAUUGGAAUUCCUGGUGUAGCGGUGGAAUGCGCAGAUAUCAGGAGGAACACCGAUGGCGAAGGCAGAUCUCUGGGCCGUAACUGACGCUGAGGAGCGAAAAGCGUGGGGAGCGAACAGG